UACGAAGGGGGCGAGCGUUAUUCGGAAUCACUGGGCGUAAAGCGUGCGUAGGCGGUUUUAAAAGUUGGAAGUGAAAGCCCAGGGCUCAACCCUGGAAUUGCUCUCAAAACUAUAAGACUCGGAUUCGGGAGAGGAUAGCGGAAUUGUCAGUGUAGCAGUGAAAUGCGUAGAUAUUGACAGGAACACCAGUGGCGCAAGCGGCUAUCUGGACCGACGUCGACGCUGAGGCACGAAAGCGUGGGGAUCAAACAGG
rnacentral:rRNA from 1 species